AGAUCAUGCCACUGUAGAGCUGAUUGUGAAUACCCUUCAUAAGUUUUUUCCUUCUUUUGACUAUAGAUGGUUGCUUGAUGAAAUGCGUGAAAGUUUGCCCAAGGAAAGGAUAGGCCUGUUCACU